rnacentral:rRNA from 1 species
CACACCGCCCGUCACACCAUGGGAGUUGGCUUUACCCAAGGUGGUGCGCUAACCUCGCAAGAGGAGGCAGCCAACCACGGUAGGGUCAGCGACUGGGGUG